rnacentral:lncRNA from 1 species
AGCAGAAGUUCGGCUCUCGCGGGAGCUCGAUUAGGAUCUGGGAGGCGGUCGAUCGUCGUAGAAACUUGGGUGGAGUCUGGUUACUGUAGAAAUCUCAUUGUCGGGGAAACUCGGAUGCUGAUGAAAUCCGAAAGAAGUUCGGGGGUUGUCGGUUACUGUAGAAGGUCGGCUAACAGUGGGGCCCUGAGGGCCUUUGGGGUGGCCCAGUGGAUGAAUGCAGAAGUUCAUUGUCGGAGAAGUCCGGACGGC